ensembl:snoRNA small nucleolar RNA SNORA12
UGGGGUGUUAGUAUGCCCAUAAAAUGGUUAAGGAAAUUCAAAUGGGCCUGACUCUGCCACAUAUAUUCUAUAGGAGCUGGGAAAGGCUUGAUGACAAAGAGAUCUCUCUCUAGCCUUUCCCACAUCAGAGAUUGGCUCCCACAUGG